UACGUAGGGUGCGAGCGUUGCCCGGAUUUAUUGGGCGUAAAGGGCGCGUAGGCGGCUCUGCACGUCCGUUGUGAAAUCGCCCGGCUCAACUGGGCGGGGUCAGCGGAUACGGCAGAGCUCGAGCAAGCUAGGGGGCAAUGGAAUUCCCGGUGUAGUGGUGGAAUGCGUAGAUAUCGGGAGGAACACCGGUGGCGAAGGCGGCGACCUGGGUCGAGACUGACGCUGAGGCGCGAAAGCGUGGGGAGCGAACAGG
rnacentral:rRNA from 1 species